CCGCCAGAGAACUACAAGUAAAAAACUUAAAACUCAAAGGAUUUGGCGGUGUCCCACAUCAAACUAGAGGAGCCUGUCCUAUAAUCGAUACCCCCCGUUCCACCCAACCUAAACUAGCAUAUUCAGCCUAUAUACCGCCGUCGACAGCCUACCCCAUGAGGGUUUUAUAGUAGACACAAUAGUGUAUAUAUUACUAACACGUCAGGUCAAGGUGUAGCACAUGUUUAGGAAGAGAUUGGCUACAUUUUUAAUUUUAAAAAUACGGAAUGCCCAAUGAAAUACAACAUAAAGGUGAAUUUAGCAGUAAAAU
rnacentral:rRNA from 1 species